rnacentral:rRNA from 1 species
UGGGGGAUAUUGCACAAUGGGGGAAACCCUGAUGCAGCGACGCCGCGUGUAGGAAGACGGUCCUCUGGAUUGUAAACUACUGUCCCCAGGGACGAAGAUGACGGUACCUGGGGAGGAAGCUCCGGCUAACUACGUGCCAGCAGCCGCGGUAAUACGUAGGGAGCGAGCGUUGUCCGGAAUUACUGGGUGUAAAGGGAGCGUAGGCGGGGAUGCAAGUUGGGUGUUAAAUCUACCGGCUCAACUGGUAGUCGCACUCAAAACUGCAGCUCUUGAGUGAAGUAGAGGCAGGCGGAAUUCCUAGUGUAGCGGUGAAAUGCGUAGAUAUUAGGAGGAACACCAGUGGCGAAGGCGGCCUGCUGGGCUUUUACUGACGCUGAGGCUCGAAAGUGUGGGGAGCAAACAGG